UUUGAAUGGCCGCGGUAUUUUGACCGUGCUAAGGUAGCAUAAUAUUAGUUUUUUUAUUGAAAGCUGGAAUGAAGGGUUGGAUGAAAAAAUAACUGUCUCUAAUUUAUUUUAUUAAAAUUUUAUUUUUAAGUUAAAAAGCUUAAAUUAUUUUAAAAGACGAGAAGACCCUAUAGAGUUUAAUAAAUAUUUUUAUUUUAAAAUUUAGUAUUUAAGGUUUUAAUAUUUAUAUUUAUUUAAUUGGGGUGAUUGAAAAAUUUAAUUAACUUUUUUUUUAUUAAAAUAUAAAUUUAUAAAAUUAUGAUCCAAUAUUUUUGAUUAUAAGAAUAAAUUACCUUAGGGAUAACAGCGUAAUUUUAUUAGAGAGUUCAAAUUGAAAAUAAAGAUUGCGACCUCGAUGUUGGAUUAAA
rnacentral:rRNA from 1 species